rnacentral:rRNA from 1 species
GGGAGCGCACAACCGGUGGAGCAUGUGGUUUAAUUCGAUACAAAGCGAAAAACCUUACCUGGGUUUGACAUGUACCUGCACGGCUUAGGAAACUAAGUCUUCUUCGAGAGUGGUACACAGGUGUUGCAUGGCUGUCGUCAGCUCGUGUCGUGAGGCGUCCACUUAAGUGUGGUAACGAGCGCAACCCUUAUCUCGUGUUACAAGUGUCACGAGAGACUGCCCUGCUUUUUGCAGGGAGGAAGGAGAGGAUGACGUCAAGUCAGCACGACCCUUACAUCCAGGGCUACACACAUCCUACAAUGGAGCCGACAACGGGAAGCAAGAUCGCAAGAUGGAGCUAAUCCUUAUAAACGGCCCCUCAGUUCAGAUUGUUCUCUGCAAUUCGAGAGCAUGAAGUCGGAAUCGGUAGUAAUCGCAAAUCAGCAGGUUGCGGUGAAUACGUUCUCGCUCCUU